UUGGAAAUAAAACUGUGUAACGCCAGCCAAUCAAAAAGCGGUAACGUAUCGCAUCAGCCAAUCUGAAAGCAGCUAUCUAAUGUGUUACGCACGACAUUACUCACUUAUCGGAAAGUAAACCCUCGUGUUAUUACAUGCACGACGUGUCUCAACUGCGUAGUAUUUUCAUCCCUGCUUUGUCUUCGUUCAUAGACUACAGUUAGCAUCAUUUAAUUAAUCCAGAUCGAUUAGUUGUCUGCAGAAAUGACAUCGAAGCAGUAGAAAACCAGUGCUAUGAUUAUCAACAGUCAAUUCAAUUCGAUUUUCGUAGUAAUAUUCGAUUGAUGCUGGUCAAGACUGAUGUAGAGUGGUGUUCGGUAUUAGAUUUUCGCAAGUGGAUCGAGCGUCUCCAGAAGAUUAAGAAUAUUUUUCAAUUUUCCAAUCCUCCUUCAAUCCUCUUUAGAGGAUCUAACAGUUUGGCAAAAGUUAAGAAUACUUUUUGCCAUAUGCUUCCUUUUGCCAGGAUCUGAUGGCACUCUGAUCGCCAAGAAUAUUCAACUUGAUGACGACCUUCAUGAUGACUUCUAGACUCGCUGGCAGCAUCGAUAAUAACGCCCUUCGCAUCUAAUCGUAA